rnacentral:piRNA from 1 species
UGGGACUCAACAUCAAUUCCAAGGAUUUAUC